rnacentral:rRNA from 1 species
AUGCCGCCGCCGCUGGCGCAGGUGCAGGAGCUGCGGGACCGCCUCUCCGACCGGUUCCGGCCGUGGAGCCGCUCCGCGCAGUUCUGGGUCCGCGCCGUCGACAUCUACGGCAGCUACAAGGUGUGCCAGCUGCGCACGGGGUUCGUCAAGGAUGAGGAGGAGCGGGAGGCCAUGUGGGAGCAGCAGCACGAGAUCGGCGCCCAGAAGAUGUACUCGCUCUGCUCCGAGCUCGGCGGCCUCUUCCUCAAGGCUGCUCAAAUUCUGGGCAAGCCCGAUUUGGCGCCGACGGCCUGGGUGAAGAGGCUUGUUACAUUGUGCGACAAGGCUCCGUCCACGCCGAUCGAAGUUGUCAGAGAUGUUGUAGAGAAACAGUUCUGCAAGAGCUUUGAUGAGAUAUUUGAUUUCUUUGAAGUUGAGCCUGUUGGGUCUGCUUCUAUUGCACAGGUGCACCGAGCGAGGCUUAAAUCAUCAAAGACAGAUGUUGCUGUCAAGGUUCAACAUCCAGGAGCUGAACAAUUGAUGAUGGUUGAUAUCCGGAACAUGCAAGCAUUUGCCUUGUUCUUACAGAAAUAUGACAUCAACUUUGAUCUGUUCUCCGCCACAAAAGAGAUGGAAAAGCAGAUAUGCUAUGAGUUUGAUUUUGUGCGAGAAGCGAGAGCAAUGGAAAGAAUACGAGAAUUCUUACGUGUCAGCAAUAAGAAACCUCCAGUUAUGGUGCCUCGUGUGAUUCCUGGAAUGAUUAGCAGGGAGGUCUUGGUCAUGGAAUUCAUACAAGGAACUCCAAUAAUGAAUCUCAGCAGUGAAAUGUCUAAAAGAGGAAUUGAUCCUGCUGGUAAGCUUGCAGCAAUGGCAAAGCAGAAGAUUCUGACGGAUCUUACACUUGCUUAUGGCCAAAUGAUCUUGAAGGAUGGCUUUUUCCAUGCAGAUCCACACCCAGGAAACAUCCUUAUCUGCAACAACACAGAGGCAACUUUGCUUGACUAUGGACAAGUGAAAGAAAUGCCAGAGGAUUUACGACUGGCUUAUGCAAAUCUUGUCAUUGCCAUGGCCGAUGAUGACCUUUUGAGAACUAAAGAAAGUCUCAGUGAAUUUGGUUUCAAAACAUGGAGUAUAGCAGACAAUGAGCUAGAAGAACUGUUUCAGUUAUCUCUUAGAAUGUUUGAUACAAGAUUACCGCCUGGAGUAACCGUGCUCUCGCCCUUUGCUGAUGAUUCUUCACUGAAUAAAGUUGGAGUAGAGAGCUUCCCAGAGGAAUUAUUUUCGGUGCUUCGAACGAUACAACUGUUGCGCGGGCUGACUGUAGGGAUGGGCCUCCGUUUUUCUUGUGCUCAGCAAUGGAAACCAAUUGCUGAGGAAGCUUUGUUAAAGGCUGGGAGAAUAAAAGAUGUAAAAUCAAGAAGACCAAGAAGAAGUUUCCUUAGAAGGUUCUUUUAG